rnacentral:rRNA from 1 species
AUUGAACGCUGGCGGCAUGCCUUACACAUGCAAGUCGAACGGCAGCACGGGUGCUUGCACCUGGUGGCGAGUGGCGAACGGGUGAGUAAUACAUCGGAACAUGUCCUGUAGUGGGGGAUAGCCCGGCGAAAGCCGGAUUAAUACCGCAUACGAUCUACGGAUGAAAGCGGGGGACCUUCGGGCCUCGCGCUAUCGGGUUGGCCGAUGGCUGAUUCGCUAGUUGGUGGGGUAAAGGCCUACCAAGGCGACGAUCAGUAGCUGGUCUGAGAGGACGACCAGCCACACUGGGACUGAGACACGGCCCAGACUCCUACGGGAGGCAGCAGUGGGGAAUUUUGGACAAUGGGCGAAAGCCUGAUCCAGCAAUGCCGCGUGUGUGAAGAAGGCCUUCGGGUUGUAAAGCACUUUUGUCCGGAAAGAAAUCCUUGGCCCUAAUACGGUCGGGGGAUGACGGUACCGGAAGAAUAAGCACCGGCUAACUACGUG